rnacentral:rRNA from 1 species
CGCGUAGGCGGCUUGUUAAGUCUGGAGUGGAAGUCCUCUUUUUAAGGGAGGAAUUGCUUUGGAAACUGGCGAGCUUGAGUGCAGGGGAGGUUAUCGGAAUUCCCGGUGUAGCGGUGAAAUGCGUAGAGAUCGGGAGGAACACCAGUGGCGAAGGCGGGUAACUGGACUGCAACUGACGCUGAGGCGCGAAAGUGUGGGGAGCAAACAG